CAAGUCGAACGAGAUUUUUUCCUGUAGCAAUACAGGGAAAAGUCUAGUGGCGAACGGGUGCGUAACACGUGGGCAAUCUGCCUUAAAGUGGGGGAUAGCUCGGCGAAAGCCGAAUUAAUACCGCAUGUGAUCAGGGGAGACAUCUUCCCGAAAUCAAAAGUGGCGCAAGCUACUGCUUUUUGAGGAGCCCGCGGCCUAUCAGCUAGUUGGUGAGGUAAUGGCUCACCAAGGCUAUGACGGGUAGCUGGUCUGAGAGGACGACCAGUCACACUGGAACUGAGACACGGUCCAGACACCUACGGGUGGCAGCAGUCGAGAAUUUUUCUCAAUGGGGGAAACCCUGAAGGAGCGACGCCGCGUGGAGGAUGAAGGUCUUCGGGUUGUAAACUCCUGUCAUUUGGGAACAAGUGUCGGUACGUAACUGCUACCGGCUUGAUAGUACCAGAAGAGGAAGAGACGGCUAACUCUGUGCCAGCAGCCGCGGUAAUACAGAGGUCUCAAGCGUUGUUCGGAUUCAUUGGGCGUAAAGGGUGUGUAGGUGGCGCUGUAAGUCGGGUGUGAAAUUUCGGAGCUUAACUCCGAAACUGCAUUCGAUACUGCGGUGCUUGAGGACUGGAGAGGAGACUGGAAUUCAUGGUGUAGCAGUGAAAUGCGUAGAGAUCAUGAGGAAGACCAGUGGCGAAGGCGGGUCUCUGGACAGUUCCUGACACUGAGACACGAAGGCCAGGGGAGCAAACGGGAUUAGAUACCCCGGUAGUCCUGGCAGAAAACGGUGCACGUUUGGUGUGGGAGGAUUCGACCCCUUCUGCGCCGGAGCUA
rnacentral:rRNA from 1 species